AAUUGUUCUGUUUCUGAAGGAUUCAAGUCAUGGAUGUGAAACAGUUCAAGCUUCCAUUAUGGAAAAUUAUUAUCUUUCACAUGUUCUUUAUGCUGUUCUUCACUAAAAACUUGUUUCAUUGUUGGACUGUGUUGAACUCUUACUGGAAAAAUUCCUGCUCUUCAUUUUCUGGCCUGAUCCAGCUGACUUCUAAGCUAAAAGAGAUUUGCUAGAUUUAGAAGUACUGCCAACACUUGGUAUUCUGCCAGCCACGUUCAUUUUGAGGAAUCCUUGGAGACGCCAGGUAAUAACUAGUACAGGUGGAGUGGUCCCAGGGGCUUCCCAAAGAGGAGCUGCUGGCACAGGAUAAGCUGUUGCUGAAGGAAAAAAAACCAAAACAACCAUGAAAGCUGUAAGAGCAGUAUCCUGGUUUCUGUGAAAAUGGAAAUAAAACCCCAUCAUUCUGCCAAAUCGAUGUUUUCAAAAGCCAUUACCAGACUAAUACUUCAGUAUAAAGCAGUAUGAGCUCUCUGUAUCCUCCCACUGCCAUCCCAGGGAGAGAGCCCAGGGAAGUACAGGCUCAAGGACCUCUGGAUCUUGCUCACAGCCCUCUAAGGCACCAUUUCCUGCUGUCUCUUUUCCUGCAGACGUCUACCUGCCCCAAGUGACCAGUAAUUCAUACAAUCCAUGGUGUGUUGGCUGCCUCCAUCUCAUGGGAUUGUGUCUGCUCUCUCACUGGCAAGCUGAAACUUUUCAUGAAGACUUGAAUGAGUCCCUCGGGGAUUGGACCUUUCUGAAAAUAUAUAUUUGUGAUGGUAUUAGACAACAUAAUAUGGCAUGGAAGUAUUGACAGUCUGGCUACUACAGCACCAAGGCUGACCUCCACAGAAGGAAACUCUGUGACCCUGAGCUCACCCUGGACCCUCAGCCAAAGCACUGUCCAUGCUGGGUGUGAGUGGGCUGGCUCUUGCCCAUUGCCAGGAGAGAGGGAGGCCAAGAACUGCAAGCUGCCCUGGAGCCCACAGCACUUUGCCAGGCAGGUUAAUGGAAAACAGACAGGGCUCUGCCAGAAUGUUGUUGCAAUUGCACAUUUUCAGUAAAACUUCCAUUGAAAUUUAAAGUCAAAUGAAUGGAAAUAUUCCAUCUAUAGCACCACCUAGACCUCUUAGUGAGUAACUGCUGACUAGCCUUAUUUACUAUUAUGUCAGCCAUUGAGGAGGUUUUAAUGAAAACGAACACCAGAUCCAGCUACUCUGACUUACCUAGGCCUGCUGCCCUUGUUUAAAAUAGAUGCUAUUGAAUAGAGCCUUUGAUUAUUUGUGGACUAGAGAUGAUUUUGCCCUCUAAUGAAUUCCCCAUUUUCUGCCCCUUACUACAUCCAGAGCUGAAAUAUUCAUUACUUCAUUACUUCACUACUUUUUUUUUUUUCUAUAUCACUUCUGGCAUUCUUGAAACAUCCAUUUAAUGACAUACCUCUAUGGCCACUAAAAUUUCUAACAUUUUCAUUGAUUUUUUUUCCUCCUUAAAGACACACCUUUUACUUUUCUUUAACUCCCCUCAUUCAUUUCCUACAACCAUAAUAGUUUAAUUAAAAUAGCCUCCUGAUACAAGGAAAUUAUACCUCAAGCAUCAUUGAGACAGAGCAGAGCUGAUGCUGCAGGGAAUGAGGGCUGCCUAACUAGAAGGAAAGGAGAGGUCAGGGUGGAUGUUUGUGGAAUAGGUGUUGAGCAUGUGUCUGGGACUGCAGUGCCUCCCUCAUUAGCAGGCAGGCUGCAAAUGCUGGCUGGCCAUGGGCAUGGUUCUCACAUGAGCUCAUUGGUGCUGGAGCUCUUUGUAGGCCAGUAUAUUUUGGGCUGUGAGUAUGCAUCAGACAAGUAUGUAACAGCGGGAAAACCUGCAGCUGCACUGAUAGGAAGCAUUUGUACAUAGUGGUACUAUGUGGUGUGGGCUCCUAUACUAUAGUUAGCAAUAUUCUAUAUAUACUCCCAUACUAUAUUUAGUUGCCAUACCAUGCAUCCCAGCUAAUCCAAAGAAUGAGGCAUUCAAUACUCCCAGAUAACCCCACUUUUAACACCAGCCACUCACCAUACACAAUGACAUCAAUGCAGCUCCAUGAAUAGAUAGAAAACAGGGAAUGGCAAAGGGUUAUUAUAUGAAGGGGCUGCCAUCUUGCUCAUCUGUGAAUGCAUGGAUACACAAAUUUCUCUCUUAAAAGGGAAUGAAGUUUUAGCAAUAUCUGUGUUAAGGCUACCACCUUGAUUCUGCUUGGUUUUCAAGCAAAAAUUAUUCUUCUGCUAGACUAAAGCAGAGGAAGAAUAAUCUGUAGUCUUAAAAAAUUAAUUUAUUAUACAUUCAUGGAUCGUCUAAUAAUAAAAAUCCUCACCAAACCUAUUGUCAACAUUGCAAAAUGAAUAAGAAACUCCAACAACCAGAAUUCCCAGCAGUGCUAAUAGUUAGUGAGCAAUACUACCUUUACUGCCAGAGUGUGCAGCAGCUGCAUAUUACUGUCACCAGUGUAUUUUAAUUCAAAACCUCAAUAUUUUACAGCCCCUCUACCCAUGUCUUUUUUUCCCAUAAAAAGGCAAUGAGUUAUGCCAUAGUUCUGUUACUUUUCUUGAGGUCAUCUGUAUAUUUUGGGUGGACUACAUGAAUUCCUAUGUCUCUACACUCAGCUGUAGUCACAAUACAUGUUUUAACUCUGAAGUAAAUAUGAGUUAUAAUUUCAUACAUACAACUCUCAGUAGUAGUAAGAGGAAGAGAGGUAUGGUGGUGUUUUACUAUUCAUUCUGGUCCAUGUUAAAGGUCUCUUCAGUAAUAAAGCAACAUUAUUUGUAUUAAUCUGCUUAAACUACAAAUAUUAUUGGCACUAUUUUCUUUAAAAAAUGUAAAGCCAGACUUAGCAUUCAUAAGGAAGUGUUUCCCAGUAUAUUAAGGAUACAGUACUCAAGUGAGCAGAUAAUACUGCUCAGAAAGGUAGCAUUUGACAUGAAAUACAUAUAUUCCUUUCCAAUCAAUCUAUAAGUAUACACAAUUUAUACACACACAGACACACAAACAAACAGAAUUUUGUGUGAAGGCAGGAGUACAGACAACUUUUGAGUACUUCACAGCCUUCUGAAUCUACAUGUUUUUGAGUAAAAUCUGUUUACUCAGCAGAUUUCUGAGUCAGAAAAUGAAAACUCAUUUUACAUGAGCUUGGGUUUGUUUAAGUGUGACAAAUCUGACAGUGGCACCUUCCCACUUGUUCCCUCUGCUAAGGAGCCAGCAUGACCUCUCUGGCUGAUUUCCCUUGGUGUGUGCAGGGAGCAUAUUUAGUGAGUACUCCACAACACAGCCCAACUCAUGAUUUGACUGUUAGUUAAACAUGAAUAUAGCAUGGAAUGGAACCUUUUUUUCCUUGUCUUGCACAGCUGUAUAGCACGAUACACUGAGAUUGUCAAUAGUGCUGUCACCCUCCCAUAACUUAACCAUACAGGAUGUUGUUGAAUGCUGAGGUAUGCAUAGACAAGAUGAGGUACAGCAAUUGAGCAAAUAAUUCAAAUUUGUGGUGUACAAUGGUAACACAAAACUUCAAGGCGUGUAUUAAGAAUUCUCAAGAGGAAAACAUCUUGAAAUUUAUUAUAAUGUAAGUAGUAAACAUAGGAAUGUGUUUUUACAAAGGUGGCAGUUAGGGCUUGUUACAGGUAUAUUUCAACCACUGGUGAAUAAAACCAGAUCUUUUACAAACCCA